UACGAGGGGGGCGAGCGUUGUUCGGAAUUAUUGGGCGUAAAGGGUGCGUAGGCGGUUUGGUAAGUCUUGUGUGAAAUCUACAGGCUCAACUUGUAGUCUGCACGAGAAACUGCCGGGCUUGAGUAUGGGAGAGGUGAGUGGAAUUCCUGGUGUAGCGGUGAAAUGCGUAGAUAUCGGAAGGAACACCUGUGGCGAAAGCGGCUCACUGGACCAUUACUGACGCUGAUGCACGAAAGCUAGGGGAGCAAACAGG
rnacentral:rRNA from 1 species